AACUUACCGAAAGGUGAGCUAAUGCCGGAUGAGUUAUAUAAGUGCAUGUUUAUAUAGGAAAAGUUGGGGAGACCUGACGCUGAAAGAUGGACUCGCGUCCCAUUAGCUAGUUGGUAGGGUAAUGGCCUACCAAGGCGACGAUGGGUAGUCGGCCUGAGAGGGUGGCCGGCCACACUGGGACUGAGACACGGCCCAGACUCCUACGGGAGGCAGCAGUGGGGAAUUUUGCGCAAUGCUCGUAAGAGUGACGCAGCGACGCCGCGUGAAUGACGAAGGCCUUCGGGUCGUAAAGUUCUUUCGACAGGGAAGAAAAUGCCUAUAAGUAACUGUGUAUGUAUUGACGGUACCUGUAUAAGCAGCCCCGGCUAACUCCGUGCCAGCAGCCGCGGUAAUACGGAGGGGGCGAGCGUUGUUCGGAGUGACUGGGCGUAAAGAGCACGUAGGCGGUGUUGUAAGUCAUUAGUCAAAGACUAGAGCUCAACUUUAGUAAGGCUAGUGAUACUAUAAUACUAGAGUAUCAGAGAGGAUUGCAGAAUUCCUGGUGUAGCGGUGAAAUGCGUAGAUAUCAGGAGGAAUACCGUUAGCGAAGGCGGCAAUCUGGCUGGAAACUGACGCUGAGGUGCGAAAGCGUGGGCAGCAAACAGGAUUAGAUACCCUGGUAGNCCACGCUGUAAACGAUGGANGCU
rnacentral:rRNA from 1 species